UACGUAGGGUGCGAGCGUUGUCCGGAAUUAUUGGGCGUAAAGAGCUCGUAGGCGGUGUGUCACGUCGGCCGUGAAAACCUGCAGCUUAACUGUGGGCUUGCGGUCGAUACGGGCAUCACUGGAGUUCGGCAGGGGAGACUGGAAUUCCUGGUGUAGCGGUGGAAUGCGCAGAUAUCAGGAAGAACACCCGUGGCGAAGGCGGCUCUCUGGGACGGUACUGACGCUGAGACGCGAAAGCGUGGGGAGCGAACAGG
rnacentral:rRNA from 1 species